GAUGAAGAACGUAGCGAAAUGCGAUAAGUAGUGUGAAUUGCAGAAUUCAGUGAAUCAUCGAAUCUUUGAACGCACAUUGCGCCCCUUGGUAUUCCAUGGGGCGUGCCUGUUCGAGCGUCAUUUGUACCUUCAAGCUCUGCUUGGUGUUGGGUGUUUGUCUCGCCUCUGCGUGUAGACUCGCCUCAAAACAAUUGGCAGCCGGCGUAUUGAUUUCGGAGCGCAGUACAUCUCGCGCUUUGCACUCAUAACGACGACGUCCAAAAGUACAUUUUUACACUCUUGACCUCGGAUCAGGUAGGGAUACCCGCUGAACUUAAGCAUAUCAAUAAGCGGAGGA
rnacentral:misc_RNA from 1 species